AACUACUCCCGGUCUUGGUAUCCGGCCACCACUGCUACCAGAUCUGGCAUUGGUAGCAAACGGAAGCGACACUGCAGCAGCGCAGUGCAAUGGAUGAGCUGGUCUGCCCUGCCUCCUCCAGCAGCUCUCCCUCCUCGGCCUCCUUCUUCUCCACCGCCGGCCACCACCAGGAGCUCGAGUUCAUGCCCUGCGAUGUCCUGGAGGGAUUGCUGGGCGACGAGGACUGGAUAGAUGAGGCCCCAGAUGGCGUCACGCUCGGUUACGAGGGCUCGAGCGCGCGCUCGCCGGGAAACGACCUGCCCGGCGAACCGCCAGCACCUGAGCCAAAGAGGCGUGGCCGGAGACCAGGGCCCCGGUCCGACGCCCCCGUUCUUAGCCACGUGGAGGCGGAGCGGCAGCGGCGGGACAGGCUCAACCGCCGCUUCUGCGAGCUCCGGGCCGCCGUGCCCACCGUGUCCCGGUUUGACAAGGCCUCCCUCCUGUCCGACGCCGCCACCUACAUCACCCAGCUGCGCGACCGUGUCAAGCAGCUCGAGGCUGAGACCCGGCGGGCUGCUAUGACCUCCGCUGCGGCCGCCGCCCCGGCGAUGGCGGCCACCUCCUCGCUCGGCGUCCAGGCGGAGGAGCUGGAGUUGGAGGUGCGCAUGGUCGGCGGGGAGGCGGCGGCGCUGCGCCUGACCACGGCGGUGCGCCACCGCCACGCGCCCGCGCGCUUCAUGCUCGCGCUCCGCUCGCUGGAUCUGCCUGUGCAGCACGCGUGCGUGUGCCUCGUGGGCGGCGCCACCGUGCAGGACGCCGUCGUGGACGUGCCCGCCGGGCUGCGCGACGAGCACGGCCUCCGCGCGGCAUUGCUACACAUGCUGCAGCAGACCGGCUGGUAGCCUCGUGCAUGGGUCGGCAGGUUUGCGCUGAUCUACUCCGAUCCGUCGCCAAAAUCAGGCGUUAUUCAAACGUAUGUACUUAUUGGACAAGAUUCCUGUGAUUGAUGCAAAAUCAGGAGGAUCAAGAAUUUGUGUGCCGAACAUGCCACGCUUAAUUUGAAGAGUACAACAAUGGAGGUCUUUGCCAACCAUAGAUGGAUGUUUAGCAAGAUCAUGCUAAGGGCUCUGAUUCUCUUUCAUUCAGCAUUUUCUUCCCAAGGAACUAUAUGUUUGAUCUUGCUGCAAGUGCAGCUAUUGUAAUAAAGGAACGGCUAAAACAUCUAACGAUGUGGAGAGGCUGGAGCUUUGUUUCCAUUAUCUAAAA